rnacentral:rRNA from 1 species
UACAUGGGGUGCAAACGUUGCUCGGAAUUAUUGGGCGUAAAGCGCGCGUAGGCGGUUACUCAAGUCGGAUGUGAAAGCCCUCGGCUUAACUGAGGAAGUGCACCCGAAACUGAGUAGCUAGAGUACUAAAGAGGGUCGCGGAAUUCCCGGUGUAGAGGUGAAAUUCGUAGAUAUCGGGAGGAACACCGGUGGCGAAGGCGGCGACCUGGGUCGAGACUGACGCUGAGGAGCGAAAGCGUGGGGAGCAAACAGG